rnacentral:rRNA from 1 species
GACGAACCGUGCGAACGUUAUUCGGAAUCAUUGGGCUUAAAGGGCGCGUAGGCGGCGGUGUAAGUUGGAAGUGAAAUCCCAUCGGCUCAACCGUGGAAUUGCUCCCAGUACUGCAUCGCUCGAGGGGGGAUAGGGGUUUGCCGGAACGUACCGGUGGAGCGGUGAAAUGUGUUGAUAUCGGUGGGAACGCCAGUGGCGAAAGCGGCAAACUUGACCCUUCCUGACGCUG